UAUGCCUACCUUACGUCAAACAUGACAUUAAGUCCAUGACACAGACUAUUUCAUUUAAUCUUCAUUUAAGCCUAAGAGGAAUGAGCCCCUUUACAGAGAGAGACUGAGGCUAAGAGAAAAUGAGUAAUCUCAUUCAAAGCCCCAUGGAGACAAAUUCUAAUUUCUAGAAUUAGAAAUUAAACCCAGACCCAUACCCCUGGGUCUUACUACCUUCUGAGUGGAGUAGAAGGAAAUCUGUUUAAAACACAGAUGCAAAAGCCAGAUGGUGAAGGAACUUGGAUGCCAGAAGGAGUUUCAGAUUUCCUUGGACAGUAAUGGUUAGGAGUGGAGAAGGGUCUGAAAAGGGUUAAACAAAGCAUUAAUAAGCUCUCUCAUUUAACCUUUGUCUUACAGCCCUGUAACUACGCAAACAACACAAAUUAUUCUCCCUCAUCCCAGAUAACCAUCUCCUGUACCUUCCUUAAUUCUACAGAUCACUCAAGAUAAAGGAGUCAUUAGCUUGAGGCUGAUGUGGCAGCUGCCCAAUUCCCUGCGCCUGGCAAAAGUUUCAUGUGGAAAAUCUACAUCUGCAUGACGCAGGCAAACCCAGGAGUUGGAAGCCAAACACAAUUGUUAACUAUUCACAAUCAAUAAGACAAAUUUUCAAACUUCAUUUCUCUUGGAAUAAGGAAACCUGGGUGAAAGAGAGCCCUGGAAGGCAAUGAGCAGCUGGUAGGAAACAACUACACAAGACCAAGGGAAUCUUGCAGCUGUCCAGUUGGAAACAAAUUGUAUGUAAAGACUACCUCAACUAAAAGCCACAGAACAGAUUUUCCUCACUAUUUGACUAUAGGAGGAAAACAGACCUUUAUGGAGCUAAAGAAUCUUGAGAGAGAUGGGAAAUUGACUCUAAGCACCAUCCAUAAAUACCCUAGAGUCUGCUACUGAAUCCAUGGAUUGGAUUAAGCUACAAUCAAGAACAAGUAUAGUAGCGAUAGGAGUCUGUGUGUAAGUAAAUCAAUAAAUAGACAAAACAUCUGUGGUUUGUAUA
rnacentral:lncRNA from 1 species